rnacentral:lncRNA from 1 species
GUCACUUGUCAAAGGUUAGUGUUGCUGAGGUUAGAACUGGGUCCCACUUUGAUCUGAUUCCAAAGCCUGAUCCCUUAACUAGUGUGUGGAGCUGACUGCAGGGAGACUGCUACACCCAGGAAGAGCUGCAGCUGUCUCAGUGGCAGCGUGGAACCAAGGUCUACAGUGGCUGCUGAGGUCAGACUUGAAGAAAUGACUCACAUGCAAGGCUGAUCUACAUAAGUAGCCUGUGCUAAGACUGCCAUCUGGUAGAACAAUCUACAUCACACGACUCCACGUUUCCUGUUACCCAAGAUGAAGAACCUGAGGGAUUAAGAUUUUUCUACAAUUUCACCAAACGUUGGCAAAGCAUGAGUUCAAAGACACAACCCUUGAUAUCCUCGCUCUUCGUGGGACAAUCUCACUUUCCCUGUGCUGCAAACAACAUAGAGACAAGCCCUGGCAUUCUCUCUGCUAGGGCAAUGCCCCCUCCUGCAGCUCUGUUGUGAUCUCCGUGCACACUUUGGGCAGAGCAGCUCCUUAUCAACAUGAAAACAUUGCCCAAAUCUUAAAAGCAAGCAAGCAAAGAAAUAAAAUUAACCAACAGCUAG